rnacentral:misc_RNA from 1 species
AAGUCGUAACAAGGUUUCCGUAGGUGAACCUGCGGAAGGAUCAUUAACACGUAUCCACGUAUCAACCAAUGAGAACCUGUUUUCCCGUCUCCCUGUGCAAAGAAUGAAUUGGAACCAGUUUGAGGGAGUGAUGGGACCGAAAGGUCGGCCUUCCUGGUAUACUUAUGUAAAUAGAAAUGUUUGCAUAGACAAUUGUAUUUUUGUUACAGGCUAUUUCUUAUCGCUUUGAUCCCCAUCAUGAUCGUGGCGGUAGGGAAACUUUCACUAUAUUUACCUUUUUUGCUAGUUGACUUUUUAUAUGUGUUGUCUUGCGAAAGCAUGGUGGCACACGUUUAUUAAUUGAACGUUAAAAAAUACAACUCUUAGCAAUGGAUAUCUUGGUUCUC